CACGUAGGGCGCAAGCGUUGUCCGGACUUAUUGGGCGUAAAGAGCUCGUAGGCGGUCUGUUGCGUCCGCUGUGAAAACUCGGGGCUUAACCCCGAGCCUGCAGUGGAUACGGGCAGACUAGAGGUAGGUAGGGGAGAAUGGAAUUCCCGGUGUAGCGGUGAAAUGCGCAGAUAUCGGGAGGAACACCGGUGGCGAAGGCGGUUCUCUGGGCCUUACCUGACGCUGAGGAGCGAAAGCGUGGGGAGCGAACAGG
rnacentral:rRNA from 1 species